rfam:Streptomyces autolyticus strain CGMCC0516, complete genome.
CUUGACCGAGCCCAGCAGCAGCGGCUGCGCACGGUCCUGGCCGUAAGUGGCCAGCAGCGCCUGCGCCUC